CCUGCUCUCUAGGCUCAGGCCUGC
rnacentral:siRNA from 1 species